ACUACAUCUUGUCGGAUGCGACCUUCUUCUUGGCAAGCCUUUUCUCUAGCUUGGGAGCCAUGAAAAUCUUCGGUGUUCUUCCUCUCGUUGCUACAACAUGACUCUAUCCACCACGUAUGCCAGCUGAAUCCCCUGGGGAGUUGCCUUCCUGCUUGUGCUCCUCCUCUUCAUGAUUUCUUAUCAAUCCUAUUUUCGCGAACUCUGGUUCCCCUUCUCGCCAGAUGAUUCAUUCAAGCUCAAUAUGAUCCAGAAACGCAUGUUCUCUCUUUGUCAUCUAAAAGGAUUCAGAUCCAGAAACAUUACAUUAGAAGCAGUGUCGGCAACCUCUCCUCCGCCGUACACCGCUUCCUUCUCAAACAGCUCCACCAGUCCAAAUCCCCAAAUGGCAAGGAGCUACACAGCGACCAAGCAGUCCGAGAACUAUUUGUCGAAGCUCUAACCGUGUGUGGCAGAUGCGACACAGCUUGGGCCAAGAGAUAAAGGAGAGAGAGAGAGAUUUGAGGAAGAAAAAAGAUGAAGGAGUCGGCAGGCAAAUUCAUUUCCCCUUCUCCAUCUACUCCAAGUCAUUUACUUCAAUAUAAUUACUCCUCUUCAUUAUUGGUAUAUUUCCGUUGGCAAUGUUUCAAUCAUUGAAAUCAUUCAUGUUUAAUUUAUAAUCUGUUAUAAGCAUGUCUCAAUUAUAUCAGUUUGUGGUAAGAAUGUUGAAGCCAUAAGCCCUUCAAGCGUCCACUCCUUGGAACACGAGCACUGAGGCAACUCUGAUGCUGCUGCUAGGAAGGAUUCCAAGGAAGUGAGGAGUGCUAGACAUGCUUAACAUGCAUUGUGUGACUAUGAGAGGCAAUGGGCUGGAGUGAAAAUUUUGAUUUGGACUUUUGAUAUUCAAACAGACUAAGACGACUGAACAAAGAAAAAGUCAUUUGAAAUUGCUUUUUAUACGAUGUUAUUUGGGAACUUUGUGGCAGUAAAAACACUUUGUUUCAUUCCUUUGGUGUUGAUUACUUUGAUUUGUA